rnacentral:tRNA from 1 species
GGCUUAUUGGUCUAGGGGCAUAAUUCCUGCUUAGGAUGCAGGAGGUCCUGGGUUUAACUCCCAGAUGAGCCC